CUGGUGCGCGAGAUGAGUAUUCUAAGGCGCUUGAGAGAACUCUGGAGAAGGAACUCGGCAAAUUGACACCGUAACUUCGGAAGAAGGUGUGCCCCCGGUAGGUGAUGUCGUACAGACGGAGCCCAAAGGGGUCGCAGAGAAUAGGUGGCUGCGACUGUUUAUUAAAACACAGCACUCUGCAAAGACGAAAGUCGACGUAUAGGGUGUGACGCCUGCCCGGUGCUGGAAGAUUAAAUGAUGGGGUGCAAGCUCUUGAUUGAAGUCCCAGUAAACGGCGGCCGUAACAAUAACGGUCCUAAGGUAGCGAAAUUCCUUGUCGGGUAAGUUCCGACCUGCACGAAUGGCGUAACGAUGGCCACGCUGUCUCCUCCAGAGACUCAGCGAAGUUGAAAUGUUUGUGAUGAUGCAAUCU
rnacentral:rRNA from 1 species